rnacentral:rRNA from 1 species
UGAGAUGUUCGGUUAAGUCCGGCAACGAGCGCAACCCCUGUCUUUAGUUGCUAACGAGUUAUGUCGAGCACUCUAAAGAGACUGCCCGGGUUAACCGGGAGGAAGGUGGGGAUGACGUCAAGUCCUCAUGGCCCUUACGCCCAGGGCUACACACGUGCUACAAUGGUCGGUACAGUGGGAAGCAAUACCGCAAGGUGGAGCAAAUCCUUAAAGCCGUCCUCAGUUCGGAUUGGAGGCUGCAACUCGCCUCCAUGAAGCUGGAAUCGCUAGUAAUCGUAGAUCAGAAUG